AUUUUGGACACCUUAAUAAAAUGACUCCUGGGAGAACAAUUUUGAUAACUAAAACAGUUGUAUAGACUAAAAAUCUUUUUAAAAAGUUGACAAAUAGCCAGGCCUGGUGGCUCACACCUGUAAUUUCAGCAACUCAGGAGGCUGAGGCAGGAGGAUCACAAGUUCAAAGCUAGCUCAGCAACUCAGCAAGACCCUGUCUCUAGAUAAAAUAUUUUAAAAGGGCUGGGGAUGUGCCAAUAUUUUCUUCAUUUUAAACUGAAAUGUUAGAAUGUGGUAGGAGGUUAGUUUAACUCUGAUUUACAAGAGAAUAACUAGAAAAAUAUAUAAAUUAAAAAGCUAUCCCCCCUCUUGAUAUGUAUCCAAAAAUCUAACAUUAGCAUAGUAUAGAGACACAACCUCAUCAACAUUUAGCAGCACAAUUCACAAUAGACAAACUAUGGAACCAGCCUAGGUACUCAUCAAUAAUCAAAUGGAUAAAGAAAGGUGGUAUAUAUGCACAACAGAGUUUUACUCAGCCAUAAAGAAGAAUGAUAUUAUGGCAUUUGCUGGCAAAUGGAUGGAAAUGAAGAGCAUCAUGCUAAGUGAAAUAAGCCAGACUCAGAAAGUCAUGGGUUGAAUGUUUUCUUUCUCUCAUAUGUGGAAGCUAGGCCAAAAUAAUGGGGGGAAAAAGGAGCAGGGGAUAUCCUAUGAAAACAGAAGAGAGAUCAGUGGAGUAGAGGAAGGGAACUGAGGGAGAGGGAGGAGAGACAGGAAAAGGGAGGAGUGGUGGAAUGAAUCCAAUCAAAUUUUCCUAUGUACAUAUAUUAAGAUACCACAGUGAAUUUUUGCCUUUAUGUGUGUCCAUAAUGCACUGAUUUUAAAAAACUAUAAAUAAACAGAAGAAUAAUCACUAGAGAAAAGGGAACAGGAAUGAGGUACGAGGGGAGGGAAAGAAGAAACACUGGGGACUGAACUGAAGCAAAUUAUAUUUCAUGUUUGUAUAAUUAUGAGAAAAUGAACCCCAAUAUUCUGUAUAUCUAUAAUGAACUCAUAAAAUUGGGAGAGAAAAAAAAAGCAAUGUGGGGAAAUUUGCUUUCCAGAAAUUAUUAGUCCAUUUUGAAGACAUAAAAAUGUGUGAGAAUUUUUAUGUUCUAGAAGAGUAACAUCACAAAUCAAUCGGGAAAGCAUCUGUGAUCUAAUAAAAGAUUAUCUAGAAAAAAAUCAAUACUAUAUACCAAAACAAAUCCUACACGCAUAUAAGAUAUAAGUAAGCAGAAUUCAGUGGUGCACUCCUGUAAUACCAGUGGCUCUGGAGGCUGAAGCAGGAGGAUGGCAAGUUCAAAGCCAUCUUCAGCAAAAGCGAGGUGCUAAGCAACUCAGUGAGACUCUGUAUUUAAUAUUAUAAAAUACUAAACGGGGCUGGGGAUGUGGCUCUGGUCGAGUGCCUCUGAGUUCAAUCCCCACUAUCCACCCCACCAAAAAAAAAAAAAAAAAGAAGAUAUAAGUAAAACAAUAAAAACAUUUAAAGAAAAUAUGGGUGAAGAUACAUAAUUCAUAAUUUGGGGAAGAACUCAAAUAUACACACCAAAUUUUGUCUAUGGUUGUUUUGUUUGCUUUUAGGGACAUUUUGCACAACAGACAUUUUCCAAAAUGACAAAGAAACAUGUUAUAUUUAGUGUAAAAAAAUAUAUAGUGUUGAUCCAUUUUAAAACAUACAGGGCUGG
rnacentral:lncRNA from 1 species